GAGUUUGAUCCUGGCUCAGAACGAACGCUGGCGGCGUGGAUAAGACAUGCAAGUCGAACGGAUUUCUUCRGGUAUCAAUAUCUGAAGGAGUUAGUGGCGUAAGGGUGCGUAACACGUGGGCAACCUGCCCCGGAGUGUGGGAUAGCCCGCCGAAAGGCGGAUUAAUACCGCAUGUGGCUACUGAGUGCCUACUCAGGACGCUAAAGUCGCUGCAGGGUGACGCUCUGGGAUGGGCCCGCGGCCUAUCAUCUACUUGGUGAGGUAACGGCUCACCAAGGCGAUGACCGGUAGCUGGACUGAGAGGACAACCAGCCACGCUGGAACUGAGACACGGUCCCAACACCUACUGGUGGCAGCGUUCGAGAAUUUUUCUCGAUGGGGGAAACCCUGAAUGAGCGACGCCGCGUGAAGGAUGAAGGUUUUCGGAUUGAAAACUCCUGUCAUUGGUGAACAACACUGCCGGUUAACUGCCGGUUGGUUUGCUAGUACCCAAUGACGAAGGGACGGCUAACUCUGUGCCAACUGCCGCGGUAAUACAGAGGUCCCGAGCGUUGUUCGGAUUCCUUGGGCGUAUAGGGUGCAUAUGCAGCGAGGAAAGUCUGAUGUGAAAUCCUAGG
rnacentral:rRNA from 1 species